rnacentral:sRNA from 1 species
GAGGAGAAACGUCUUCGAGGUCGGGCCUGGGGAUUCGCCCACCUUCCCCCGGUUCCGGGCCAUCCAGUUGGAGCCUGCAGAGCCAGGCCAGGCAUGGGGCCGCCAGUCCCCCCGACGUCUGGAGGACUCAAGCAAUGGAGAGCGGCGAGCAUGCUGGGCUUGGGGUCCCAGUUCCCCCAAGCCUGGAGAAGCCCAGAAUGGGAGGAGAAGGUCCCGCAUGGACGAAGCCACAUGGUACCUGGAUUCAGAUGACUCAUCCCCCUUAGGAUCUCCCUCCACACCCCCAGCACUCAAUGAGACUAGGAAACCAAGGCUGAGACAAGACAGAGCCGAUCCUGGAACCCAGGUAACCCCCCGCGGCCUAGCCUGGAGCCCGAGGAGCCCAAGAGGCCUGUUCCCGCAGAGCGCGGUAGCAGCUCUGGGACGCCCAAGCUGAUCCAGCGCGCGCUGCUGCGUGGCACCGCCCUGCUCGCCUCGCUGGGCCUCGGCCGCGACCUGCAGCCGCCGGGAGGCCCAGGACGCGAGCGCGGGGAGCCCCCGACAACACCCCCCACGCCAACGCCCGCGCCCUGCCCGACCGAGCCGCCCCCUUCCCCGCUCAUCCGCUUCUCGCUCAAGACGCCCGACUCCCCGCCCACUCCUGCACCCCUGUUGCUGGACCUGG